CUUGAUCGAGCCGAGCCAGAGCGGCCGCUCCGCUGUGUGCGCCUUGCCGUAGGUCGCCAGCAGCGCCUGCGCCUC
rnacentral:antisense_RNA from 1 species